ACUCCUACGGGAGGCAGCAGUGGGGAAUUUUGGACAAUGGGCGAAAGCCUGAUCCAGCAAUGCCGCGUGUGUGAAGAAGGCCUUCGGGUUGUAAAGCACUUUUGUCCGGAAAGAAAUCCUUGGCUCUAAUACAGUCGAGGGAUGACGGUACCGGAAGAAUAAGCACCGGCUAACUACGUGCCAGCAGCCGCGGUAAUACGUAGGGUGCGAGCGUUAAUCGGAAUUACUGGGCGUAAAGCGUGCGCAGGCGGUUUGCUAAGACCGAUGUGAAAUCCCCGGGCUCAACCUGGGAACUGCAUUGGUGACUGGCAGGCUAGAGUAUGGCAGAGGGGGGUAGAAUUCCACGUGUAGCAGUGAAAUGCGUAGAGAUGUGGAGGAAUACCGAUGGCGAAGGCAGCCCCCUGGGCCAAUACUGACGCUCAUGCACGAAAGCGUGGGGAGCAAACAGGAUUAGAUACCCUGGUAGUCCCA
rnacentral:rRNA from 1 species